rnacentral:misc_RNA from 1 species
AAAAUCAAUGAAUUGCAAACCAGCCUUUAUCUGCUGUUCCAUGGCUUCUUGAUUUACCUCCUCAUCAUCCCUUCUUGCAAUGUCUAUCACUUCACUUCUACUAGAGUCUGUUUUCACUUGGAGAAAAUCAUAAAACUCAAAAGCCUGUUUUUUACCUUCAAGGUGACUGGGAUUCUCAUUGCUUUGGCAAAAGGAUCGAAGAUAGUUGCGAGGAAAAGUAUGCUGAUUAUAGUAUCUACUGCAGUAUUUACCGACAAAUGAGGCAAGAUUGGUAGUUUGGGAGUUGAACAACACACGAUCUUGUUUGAAGGAAGAGCAAUGGUUUUGGUCGUUAACUAAAGUUUGA